CUCUGACAUCCAUCCACAUGAGUGCUCAGACUCCCCCCUCGCCACCCCCUCUCACCCCACUCCCUCUGAGUUUACAGCCAGCACCUUGUGAUCCCACCGGACUUGGCAGUCCACUUCACUUAUAUAACUCUGUCUAAGGAACGUGGGGAGCCUCACUCUAAUCACAUCUUUACAAAACGGCUUCGGUGUGGAUGGCGGUGGAACAACAAAUUCAGAACAGAGUCUUGGUAGCACACAUCAAAAGGGACUUGUGGAUGGGUCGGGUGAGCGUCUGAUGCCGUUCCACAAUUUCAAACCUGGAAACAAACACAAUUAAAUGACAUCGAUACCCCAUUUUGGAUAUGAGAUCAGCCCAAAUGUGAGUCCACUGGGACAAACGGCUCCAUUUUGUGCAAUGUUUUUUUUUUUCUUCCUACCACUGAUUAAAAAAGAUCAACAGGAGGGGGACUAUUCUUUCAUUUGGGAGAUUCAUUUAGCACAAUAUCUAGAAUGUUCUUGAAAAUGUCAAAAUACUGUAAAAUGGCCGGAACUGAAUCAGUUAAACUGUUACUUUGUGGCUUAAUAUCAUUGCACUGAAAACUGCAUUGAAUGCAAAACGUCAUCAAACAAACUUUUUUUUUUUUGCUCUGGAAAAACAUUGAGCUGAACUUGAAAAAGUAUCUCAAACACUAUUUCAUGCCGACUAUGCUUCCUCAAAAAGAUUAGUUUCAGUUGUUUUUGUUACAUAGUUCACGCUCAGUGUAUUUUACUCAUGCUGAAAGUCGAUGUGACCAACCAGUCAAGUCUCAAGUUUUAUUUUGAAAGUCCCUGCUCUUUGCCAGACAGUCUCUAUUAAUAUCUCUCUUAAAAUACUGUCCUCUGGUUACGCGUGUAACACCAUCAUGUGUGUCAGGUUGCUAACAUAUACAAGAUACCGCACAUGGCAAUAAAAAUGAAAAUAUCUACGCUAUACAGUAUGUUUU